AACGUACGCUGGCGGCACGCCUAACACAUGCAAGUCGAACGAAGUAGCAAUACUUAGUGGCAGACGGGUGAGUAACAUGUGGGUAUCUGCCCUUUGGCCUGGAAUAACACGAGGAAACUUGUGCUAAUACCGGAUAAGUCUUUACGGAGAAAGCUUUAUGCACCAUUGGAUGAGCCCGCACUUGAUUAGUUUGUUGGUGGGGUAAUGGCCUACCAAGACUGUGAUCAAUAGCUGAUUUGAGAGGAUGAUCAGCCACAUUGGGACUGAGACACGGCCCAAACUCCUACGGGAGGCAGCAGUGGGGAAUCUUGCACAAUGGAGGAAACUCUGAUGCAGCGAUGCCGCGUGAGUGAAGAAGGCCCUUGGGUUGUAAAGCUCUUUCGUCGGGGAAGAAAAUGACUGUACCCGAAUAAGAAGGUCCGGCUAACUUCGUGCCAGCAGCCGCGGUAAUACGAAGGGACCUAGCGUAGUUCGGAAUUACUGGGCUUAAAGAGUUCGUAGGUGGUUGAAAAAGUUAGUGGUGAAAUCCCAGAGCUUAACUCUGGAACUGCCAUUAAAACUUUUCAGCUAGAGUAUGAUAGAGGAAAGCAGAAUUUCUAGUGUAGAGGUGAAAUUCGUAGAUAUUAGAAAGAAUACCAAUUGCGAAGGCAGCUUUCUGGAUCAUUACUGACACUGAGGAACGAAAGCAUGGGUAGCGAAGAGGAUUAGAUACCCUCGUAGUCCAUGCCGUAAACGAUGUGUGUUAGACGUUGGAAAUUUAUUUUCAGUGUCGCAGCGAAAGCGAUAAACACACCGCCUGGGGAGUACGACCGCAAGGUUAAAACUCAAAUGAAUUGACGGGGACCCGCACAAGUAGUGGAGCAUGUGGUUUAAUUCGAAGAUACGCGCAGAACCUUACCAACACUUGACAUGUUCGUCGCGACUCUAAGAGAUUAGAGUUUUCGGUUCGGCCGGACGAAACACAGGUGCUGCAUGGCUGUCGUCAGCUCGUGUCGUGAGAUGUUGGGUUAAGUCCCGCAACGAGCGCAACCCUCACUUUUAGUUGCCAUCAUUAAGUUGGGCACUCUGAAAGAACUGCCAGUGAUAAGCUGGAGGAAGGUGGGGAUGACGUCAAGUCCUCAUGGCCCUUACGAGUUGGGCUACACACGUGCUACAAUGGUAUCUACAACAGGAAGCAAGACUGCGAGGUCAAGCAAAUCCUUAAAAGAUACCUCAGUUCGGAUUGCACUCUGCAACUCGAGUGCAUGAAGCUGGAAUUACUAGUAAUCGUGGAUCAGCGUGCCACGGUGAAUGCGUUCCCGGGUCUUGUACACACCGCCCGUCACACCAUGGGAGUUGGUUCUACCUUAAGGCAAGGUUUUAAACCCUUGACCACGGUAUAGUCAGCGACUGGGGUG
rnacentral:rRNA from 1 species